rnacentral:rRNA from 1 species
CCAGACUCCUACGGGAGGCAGCAGUGGGGAAUAUUGCACAGUGGGGGAAACCCUGAUGCAGCGACGCCGCGUGAAGGAUGAAGUAUUUCGGUAUGUAAACUUCUAUCAGCAGGGAAGAAAAUGACGGUACCUGACUAAGAAGCCCCGGCUAACUACGUGCCAGCAGCCGCGGUAAUACGUAGGGGGCAAGCGUUAUCCGGAUUUACUGGGUGUAAAGGGAGCGUAGACGGCAUGGCAAGUCUGAUGUGAAAACCCGGGGCUCAACCCCGGGACUGCAUUGGAAACUGUCAGGCUAGGGUGUCGGAGAGGCAAGUGGAAUUCCUAGUGUAGCGGUGAAAUGCGUAGAUAUUAGGAGGAACACCAGUGGCGAAGGCGGCUUACUGGACGGCAACUGACGCUGAGGCUCGAAAGCGUGGGGAGCAAACAGGAUUAGAUACCCGUGUAC